CUGGCGGCGUGCUUAACACAUGCAAGUCGAACGAUGAAGCCCAGCUUGCUGGGUGGAUUAAUGGCGAACGGGUGAGUAACACGUGAGUAACCUGCCCUUUCCUCUGGGAUAACUCCGGGAAACCGGUGCUAAUACUGGAUAUGACUCUUGCCUGCAUGGGUGGGGGUGGAAAGAUUUAUCGGGAUUGGAUGGACUCGCGGCCUAUCAGCUUGUUGGUGGGGUAAUGGCCUACCAAGGCGACGACGGGUAGCCGGCCUGAGAGGGUGACCGGCCACACUGGGACUGAGACACGGCCCAGACUCCUACGGGAGGCAGCAGUGGGGAAUAUUGCACAAUGGGCGGAAGCCUGAUGCAGCGACGCCGCGUGAGGGAUGACGGCCUUCGGGUUGUAAACCUCUUUCAGCUCUGACGAAGCUUUUGUGACGGUAGGAGCAGAAGAAGCACCGGCUAACUACGUGCCAGCAGCCGCGGUAAUACGUAGGGUGCGAGCGUUGUCCGGAAUUAUUGGGCGUAAAGAGCUUGUAGGCGGUUUGUCGCGUCUGCUGUGAAAUCCCGGGGCUUAACUCCGGGCUUGCAGUGGGUACGGGCAGGCUAGAGUAUGGUAGGGGAGACUGGAAUUCCUGGUGUAGCGGUGGAAUGCGCAGAUAUCAGGAGGAACACCGAUGGCGAAGGCAGGUCUCUGGGCCAUUACUGACGCUGAGAAGCGAAAGCGUGGGGAGCGAACAGGACUAGAUACCCUGGUAGUCCACGCCGUAAACGUUG
rnacentral:rRNA from 1 species